GAGUUUGAUCAUGGCUCAGGAUGAACGCUGGCGGCGUGCUUAACACAUGCAAGUCGAACGAACCUUCGGGUUAGUGGCGGACGGGUGAGUAACGCGUGAGAAUCUGCCCUCAGGAGGGGGACAACAGCUGGAAACGGCUGCUAAUACCCCAUAUGCCGCGAGGUGAAAUGAAUUUCGCCUGAGGAUGAGCUCGCGUCUGAUUAGCUAGUUGGUGUAGGUAAUGGCUCACCAAGGCAUCGAUCAGUAGCUGGUCUGAGAGGAUGAUCAGCCACACUGGGGCUGAGACACGGCCCAGACUCCUACGGGAGGCAGCAGUGGGGAAUUUUCCGCAAUGGGCGAAAGCCUGACGGAGCAACGCCGCGUGAGGGAUGAAGGCCUCUGGGCUGUAAACCUCUUUUAUCAAGGAAGAAGAUCUGACGGUACUUGAUGAAUAAGCCACGGCUAAUUCCGUGCCAGCAGCCGCGGUAAUACGGGAGUGGCAAGCGUUAUCCGGAAUUAUUGGGCGUAAAGCGUCCGCAGGCGGCCCUUCAAGUCUGCUGUUAAAAAGUGGAGCUUAACUCCAUCAUGGCAGUGGAAACUGUUGGGCUUGAGUGUGGUAGGGGCAGAGGGAAUUCCCGGUGUAGCGGUGAAAUGCGUAGAUAUCGGGAAGAACACCAGUGGCGAAGGCGCUCUGCUGGGCCAUCACUGACGCUCAUGGACGAAAGCCAGGGGAGCGAAAGGGAUUAGAUACCCCUGUAGUCCUGGCCGUAAACGAUGAACACUAGGUGUCGGGGGAAUCGACCCCCUCGGUGUCGUAGCCAACGCGUUAAGUGUUCCGCCUGGGGAGUACGCACGCAAGUGUGAAACUCAAAGGAAUUGACGGGGGCCCGCACAAGCGGUGGAGUAUGUGGUUUAAUUCGAUGCAACGCGAAGAACCUUACCAGGGUUUGACAUCCUGCGAAUCUCUUGGAAACAGGAGAGUGCCUUCGGGAACGCAGUGACAGGUGGUGCAUGGCUGUCGUCAGCUCGUGUCGUGAGAUGUUGGGUUAAGUCCCGCAACGAGCGCAACCCACGUCUUUAGUUGCCAGCAUUUAGUUGGGCACUCUAGAGAGACUGCCGGUGAUAGACCGGAGGAAGGUGUGGAUGACGUCAAGUCAUCAUGCCCCUUACAUCCUGGGCUACACACGUACUACAAUGCUACGGACAAAGGGCAGCAAGUUCGCGAGGACAAGCAAAUCCCAUAAACCGUGGCUCAGUUCAGAUCGUAGGCUGCAACUCGCCUACGUGAAGGCGGAAUCGCUAGUAAUCGCAGGUCAGCAUACUGCGGUGAAUACGU
rnacentral:rRNA from 1 species